rnacentral:RNase_P_RNA from 1 species
CCAGACGGCCGGAUGGCCGCUCCCGCGGCGGGUGCUCUUGUACCCGCGGCGGGGGAGGAAAGUCCGGGCUCCACGGAAACACGGUGCCGGGUAACGCCCGGCGGGGGCGACCCCAGGGAAAGUGCCACAGAAAGCAAACCGCCGGCCGGGAUCCGGUUUACGAUCCGCCGGCAAGGUCGAAAGGGUGCGGUAAGAGCGCACCGCGGGCCCGGCAACGGGAACGGCACGGCAAACCCCACCGGGAGCAAGACCAAAUAGGGACGACGCGCCGGCCGCUGCCGCUUUCGGGCGCAGGACCGGCGGGCGGUGUUUUCGCGCCGUCGUCCGGGUCGGUCGCGCGAGGCGUCCGGUAACGGGCGUCCCAGAUGAAUGGCCAUCAUCCGCCCUUCCGGCGGACACAGAACCCGGCUUACAGGCCGUCUGGCAGC